rnacentral:rRNA from 1 species
GAUGAACGCUGGCUACAGGCUUAACACAUGCAAGUCGAGGGGAAACGACGGGGAAGCUUGCUUCCCCGGGCGUCGACCGGCGCACGGGUGAGUAACGCGUAUCCAACCUGCCUCUGACUGAGGGAUAACCCGUCGAAAGUCGGCCUAAUACCUCAUGGCAUCGUCUGCGGGCAUCCAACGACGAUUAAAGAUUUCAUCGGUCAGGGAUGGGGAUGCGUCUGAUUAGCUUGUUGGCGGGGUAACGGCCCACCAAGGCUACGAUCAGUAGGGGUUCUGAGAGGAAGGUCCCCCACAUUGGAACUGAGACACGGACCAAAAUGCUACGGGAGGCAGCAGUGAGGAAUAUUGGUCAAUGGGCGGGAGCCUGAACCAGCCAAGUAGCGUGCAGGAUGACGGCCCUAUGGGUUGUAAACUGCUUUUAUGCGGGGAUAAAGUGAGGGACGUGUCCUUCAUUGCAGGUACCGCAUGAAUAAGGACCGGCUAAUUCCGUG